UCCCCAUUACUUCCUUUCUUUUUUAAACUAGGCAACCACCUUCAAUUCUAGUUGAUUCAAGGAUAUAACAUUAUCAACAGUGAUGUGCAGAUAAAUGUUUAACAACCAGCUCUUGGAAGUAGUGGGGAGUCCAUAUUUGUAGCAUUUGCUGACUCCCAUGGUGUAAAUACUCCCACCCUGGCCAAUUUCAAGCUACCAACAUGACCGAAUGUGGAGUUGACAGGAGAUGUGCAGUAGCUCACCAUCAUACAAUAUUUACUAUAUAAAUGCAAAUAACCUAAAAAGCAUAGAUUGUAGUAAAAUACAGUGAAAUCAUUAGGAAUUAAUGGGUUCUGAGCAUUUAUUACCUUUUUUUCAACAAUAACUUAUCAUAUUGUUAGUUGAUGGAAUUUAAUGUUUAAUAAUGCCUGUGUUUCUCAACCAGGUCACAAAAUUCCUGAAAAUUUUAGCAAUCAGCUCUCGUAAGCCCACAUGAGCUGGUUCCAGCAUACCACUGGAUGAAUAAAUGCAAAAGCAGAAAACUAACGAAAACAGUGUCUCCAAACUCUUCUUAUAAGUUGGAUGAGUCCAUCGAAAGAGGUUCCUAUAGACGGGCCUGAGGUGAAGUUGAAAUCGCGGCCAGGCUGCUUCCUGCAAAUCAGCCUUGGAGAAUAUUUAGAUCAUUCCCAAUUUUUAUUAGAGCCAAACAGUGCUGCACCGACCACACAGGACAUACAGCUCUGGGGAAACUAUGAGGAUUUCUAUAGAGGAGACACCAAGAUAUGAAGCCAUUGGGUCCCACUUCUUACUGAUACUAACUUUUCAUCGUGUAUAAGUUAUUAUCUCCUUUAAUCCUCAUGCAGAUGAGGGACAUGGGAAUUAUUUCAUUCCUAAUUUACAGCUGAGAAAACAGAAAGAUCCAGAGUGCUAACAUUUGCCCAGGGUCCCACAACUGGCAAGAAUACCAAUAUUUUUAAUUAAAACGAAAAAGAGAAAUGGGCAGAGAAAAAGAAGUCUGUUUGGGUUUUUUUUCUCUUCUAAAAAGAAAAAUAUGUUUUCAUGUUGGAUUCAUAAUCUGUAUUCUUAAACUUUUGGAUACCGCUAGAGAAAAAUAAAUCAUCUUUUAAAAAAUGUUUGAAGAAGGCAGACUGUUUUGAUCCUCUUCUCGGCCUUACUUGGCUCCCGACAACCUGGGGAAAGUUGGCAAUUGUGCGGUUGUGCACAGAGAAAGUUCAAAAUGGCCAUGAGCAGAUGUCCCCACAGGGCCACCCAAGUAAAGCUUUGGGAAAAGAAAAGCAGCUUUGAUCAAACUGAAAAAACUUUCUGUGAAGAGAAAUAUCCAGCUGAAUAACAGAGAGUACGGUAGAGAAGGGGAAAGGGGAAUGAAGCAAGAUAUACUAGAAAGUCAGCUGAUGGGACCCAACCGACGGAUGCCCUUGCUACGUACUUGCCAGCUGAGCCCGCUCCCAAACUCCCCAUCCAAAACACACACACAUACCAUCUUUUCUGUUCUGCAGUGAUGCUGGCGGCCUGGAAAGAGGAAUGGUGUGACCUUCACUGUCUAUUUCUACAGCUGCUCUAUUUCUCCUCCCCUCCGCAAACCUCCAUUCCUCACUCUUUACUCCUUGGAGAAGAUGCCCGCUGGCCUGGCAGUCAUGUCCACUCACAGCUACAGAGGAAGAGGACUGAAAAAAGGGGGAAGCUAAACAGGAGGAUUUGGGGAAAACACAGCUGAGUUCUAAAUCAGUUUCUGCCCUUUUGAGCUGUGUGACAAUGGGCAAGUUAUACAACCUCUCUGCCCUGUUUCCUCAGUCACAAAAUGUCAGAGAAUGAGAUAAUUCCUCUCUACAAGGACGGCCAUGAGAAAGAAAUGAGUCAAAAUAUGUAAAGGGUCUACUACAUGCUUUGGUACAUUUAUUUUUAUUUAUUUAUUUAUUUAUUUA